rnacentral:rRNA from 1 species
ACGUAGGGUGCAAGCGUUGUCCGGAUUUAUUGGGCGUAAAGAGCUCGUAGGCGGUUUGUCGCGUCGGAUGUGAAAACCCAGGGCUCAACCCUGGGCCUGCAUUCGAUACGGGCAGACUAGAGUAUGGCAGGGGAGACUGGAAUUCCUGGUGUAGCGGUGAAAUGCGCAGAUAUCAGGAGGAACACCGGUGGCGAAGGCGGGUCUCUGGGCCAAAACUGACGCUGAGGAGCGAAAGCGUGGGGAGCGAACAGGAUUAGAUACCCUGGUAGUCCACGCCGUAAACGUUGGGCGCUAGGUGUAGGGGACCUUCCACGUCCUCUGUGCCGCAGCUAACGCAUUAAGCGCCCCGCCUGGGGAGUACGGCCGCAAGGCUA